UACUAGAGUAGCACUCGCAUAUCAAUAAGCGGAGGAAAAGAAACUAACAAGGAUUCCCCUAGUAACGGCGAGUGAAGCGGGAAGAGCUCAAAUUUGAAAUCUUAAAGGGUUUCCCUUUACGAAUUGUAGUUUAAAGAAGUGUUUUCUGUUGAGGUUUUGGUAAAAGUUCUUUGGAAUAGGACAUCAUAGAGGGUGAGAAUCCCGUAUUUGACCUUUACUUUCAACUUUGUGAUACACUUUCAAAGAGUCGGAUUGUUUGGGAAUGCAGUCCAAAAUGGGUGGUAAAUUUCAUCUAAAGCUAAAUAUUGGCAAGAGACCGAUAGCGAACAAGUACCGUGAGGGAAAGAUGAAAAGAACUUUGAAAAGAGAGUUAAACAGUACGUGAAAUUGUCAAAAGGGAAGCGUUUGACACCAGUGUUGUUUUUCUGAAAAUCAAUUAAAGAACUGUUUAUGCUAAGCUGUUUAGACUUUAUCAGCUAUCUGUUUAGUUUUAGGCUUUUCUUUAAUGCACUUUUCAGUUAACAAGUCAACAUCAAUUUCUUUUGCUGUAAAAAAGCUUGAGGAAGGUGGCUUGAGAUUCGUCUUAAGUGUUUAUAGCCUCUUGCCUAUGCAGUCGGAGAGAUUGAGGUCUGCAGCGUAGAUCCUUCGGGGCUAAAUGCACUUUGUGCUAAGUUAUAGCAUUUUAUAGACAACUUGUUGACUAUGAUUUGUCUUGUAGCUUACUCGCUUAUGUUAUUUUACCUACGCUUAGGAUGUUGAGCGCAUGUCUCUCUCU
rnacentral:rRNA from 1 species